rnacentral:rRNA from 1 species
GACGAACGCUGGCGGCGUGCUUAACACAUGCCAGUCGAACGGAAAGGCCUGCUUUCCCUUGUGGAUUGCGGGUACUCGAGUGGCGAACGGGUGAGUAACACGUGAGUGAUCUGCCCCCAACUUGGGUAUAAGCCUGGGAAACUGGGUCUAAUUCCCGAUAGGACUGCAGGGUGGUGCCUGUGGUGGAAAACGAUUUUCUAGUGGUUGGGGAUGAGCUCGCGGCCUAUCAGCUUGUUGGUGGGGUAAUGGCCUACCAAGGCGGCGACGGGUAGCCGGCCUGAGAGGGUGGACGGCGACAUUGGGACUGAGAUACGGCCCAGACUCCUACGGGAGGCAGCAGUGGGGAAUAUUGCACAAUGGGCGGAAGCCUGAUGCAGCGACGCCGCGUGGGGGAUGACGGCCUUCGGGUGGUAAACUCCUUUCGACCGCGAGGAAGCCACCUGGUUGGAAGGGUGGUGACGGUAGUGGUAGAAGAAGCACCGGCUAACUACGUG